rnacentral:rRNA from 1 species
CCUACGGGAGGCAGCAGUGGGGGAUAUUGCACAAUGGGGGGAACCCUGAUGCAGCGACGCCGCGUGGGUGAAGAAGCGCCUCGGCGCGUAAAGCCCUGUCAGCAGGGAAGAAAAUGACGGUACCUGAAGAAGAAGCCCCGGCUAACUACGUGCCAGCAGCCGCGGUAAUACGUCGGGGGCAAGCGUUAUCCGGAUUUAUUGGGUGUAAAGGGGGCGCAGACGGCGAUGCAAGCGAGGAGUGAAAGCCCGGGGCUCAACCCCGGGACUGCUCUUGGAACUGCGUGGCUGGAGUGCAGGAGGGGCAGGCGGAAUGUCUGGUGUAGCGGUGAAAUGCGUAGAUAUCAGGAGGAACACCGGUGGCGAAGGCGGCCUGCUGGACUGCGACUGACGUUGAGGCCCGAAAGCGUGGGGAGCAAACAGGAUUAGAUACCCUAGUAGUC